AUUGCCAUACGUCAUUUCAAUGAAAAUGUUCAUCGUCAGUCGAAGAAAUCAAAGGAUGGUCAAGUGGGGUAUAACAUAAAUUUCCCUAAGUAUAAGUUGGGUGAGGAAGCAGUGCAGGAAGUGUCUGUGAAGCUAUCUUAAGAAUAUGUUGAACAAGUAAAGAAUGUUCUUUUCAUGUCUAAUAAACAAGAACUUUCAACUAUAAUGAAAAGAUAUAGAGGAAAAGCACCCAAACCUUUGUGCAGCCAGUUUCCCACCAAACGAUCCAAAGCUGAAGCAAUAAAAAAAUAUGUUGCGAGGAACAAGCUUGUCAGUCAUGCACUUUAUCCGUGCUUGGAACAGCAAAGACAGAAGCUAGAAGACCUAACAGAUGAUGUGGAUCAAAUUUUAAAUAGUGCUGGGAAUAAAAGUACUCGCAAAUGUACAAAUGCAAAGCUCCAAUGAAAGGACAUCCUCGAGGUCAAUGCUCCACUGAAAAAGAAUAAAUUGAAGUUGGUAGAUGAUAGGGCAGUGGUCAGACAUUGCUUGGAGCCUGUCUGGAAUGGAGAAGUAAGGCACCUCCUUCCCACCACCAGCCUGAGGGUUCACCUUAGGCAAGUGAUAGUACCCUCUAGCCUCCCUAUCUGGGCACUGAUAUACACACCUUUCCUGAUGAUUACAGUAUUAAUAUAUUAUUGAAUGGUAUGUAUACUUGUCAGAUUGAAGAUGACUAUCUCACUCGAUAGUACAGCAUGGCCAUUUUGUGAAAAACGAAAGUUAAUACCAAGAGGGGACUUGUGGUGUACUUGUGUCAUCCGAAGGAUGUUAAUAAUCUCAUCGAUAUCUUGGGUUUUAUUACGUAAAGAUCGAAUUUCUUGUCGGUCUGAUAUACAAGCAACAUGUGCACAACUUAACAUAGUCUUUUCUAUCCUUCCUACAAAACAUUGUCACUGUACCAGAUGACUCUCUGCUAAAAUUUUCAUUAUCUCUAAACUUUAAAUUUGAUAAAUAACGAAAUGUAGGCGAUGAUUUUUUGGCAUAAAGAAAUUCAACAUACUCCGACGCUUUCCAUCCAAAUUUUUCGUUCAUGUCUUUCUUUAAAAAAUCUUCGUCAUUUUCCCUGUCCAGCGCUACAGUCACAUACAAACGUGGCUCUGGGUUAAAUGUUAUUCCACAACGUCCAUUUAUCCAAGGAAAUCUGCAUGAAAUAAUACACAUUCAAGCUACACUCUACUAAAUAUUGCAGUAAUCGUAUUUUAAAAACUUUCUGUGUAUUUUUUACUGACAUAAAGCUUUAUACUAUUGCUAUUAAUUGUUCAUGUAUACGUUUAAUUUUAAACUGAAAAAAAGUUACAAGACUUUUUUCAAUAUACCUUAAGCGUUAUAACAGUCCCUGCUAUAAAUUACUCUUGCUAAAAACAGUUAUUUAGGAGGUUCGUUGUGUUUAAAUUAUGCUUUUUGUUUGAAAAGAGACAAGAAGAUAUAUUUGAGUAUCUUAUGCUAUAGCAAAAAACAUUAAAUUAAAAGAUAUCAAAUAGAUUUAUACUUACUUCUUUAAUUUUUCUAUCACGUCUUUGCGAAUAUUGUAAUAAUCGUGGAGAAAUCCACUUUUGAAAUUUGGAUCAAAAUCAUCGUCUUCAGAAUCUUCAUCAUCACAAUAUACUUUGGACUCUUCAGUAACAUCUGAAAAAACAAUGUUCCUCUUUGAACACAAUCGUUUCCUCACUUAGGCCUGUUUUAUACGUUGCAUUUUACAUGCGUCGAAUGCAUUAGAGACAAAAGAAAAUGAGAUAAAAUUCCUCAUUAUCUUUUGUUUUGAUGUUUGGUCGGUGCGUGUAUUUGAAGAAGAAAGUUUCAUUUAAUUUGGCUAAGUUUUUAUUUACGUGUAUACUAAAUAAUGUAAUAAUAUGCCUUUUACAAUAGGUUUCAUACUAUAACAACUUCUGCAAACUUUAAAAAUAUCAUGUUUCUACGUAGUAGUGACGUAGCUGAUGAAGAGUUGGAGUUAAAAAAUUUGAGCAAGAUAUACCUUAAAUUGAAGUUAUAGAUUUUAAUUCUACUCGUCAUCAUGAUAAGUCAUGGCAUAACAUGCCUUUUCAUACAUUUAUGUUAAAUUUGUAUUCUUUUCAAGCUACUCGUUCGUUCCUCGCACAUGGCAAGAAAGAAGUACAAUCAAAUUCUGCCUUAAGAAAAUUUGUUCAGUUUUUAAAUUAACUGCAUGCAAGGACCUUCACAUAUUUCACACGUAAAAAACGGAAAAUAGUGCAACCUAGUGCAGAUAUGAAAAAGUUGCUUAAACUAAAUUGUUUCAAGCGUAAGUGUUGUCAUGCCAGUGUUUAUUGUCUUAAGAUCAAAAUUAUGCACGGAAGUAUUUUUCUCCUAAGCUUUAUGUCUUCUAAGUUUUUAUAUUGUUUUUUAAUUUGUUAUACCUUUGAUAUUGUGCGUUAAAAAAAAAUUGCCGCAUAAAGAAUAUAACUUAAUCAUGUUCUAAGAUUUGAAUCCUACUUUAUGCAGUAAACUACUUGGUUUAAGCGAAGAGCUUUUUGUGGGAUAGGUUAUCUAUGUAGUCAAAAUGAUUAUUCUCAAAUUUGAUUUAAAAUAGUUGUGAUAUUAAAAUUGUCAAUGAA